rnacentral:rRNA from 1 species
CAGCCGCCGCGGUAAUACGGAGGGAGCUAGCGUUGUUCGGAAUUACUGGGCGUAAAGCGCGCGUAGGCGGUUACUCAAGUCAGAGGUGAAAGCCCGGGGCUCAACCCCGGAACUGCCUUUGAAACUAGAUAGCUUGAAUCCAGGAGAGGUGAGUGGAAUUCCGAGUGUAGAGGUGAAAUUCGUAGAUAUUCGGAAGAACACCAGUGGCGAAGGCGGCUCACUGGACUGGUAUUGACGCUGAGGUGCGAAAGCGUGGGGAGCAAACAGGAUUAGAUACCCCUGUAGUCCCUGUCUCUUAUAC